AUUAAAAGACUUAAAAUUCCUUAAAAUCCCAAUUGAAUACACCCCCUAAAUUUUAAAAUUUGUAUUCAUUCACUACAUAAAUUUCAAAAUUUAAAGCCAUCUAAUAAAAAUAAAUAAGGUAUUUAACAUACAAUAUAAUUUAUAUUGGUGCACAAAAAUGCUCUCAAGUGUGUGACGUCUUCGACUCUUGGCUAAAUGCAAGACAGUGUUUAAAGAAAAAGGUGGGACCAUCUUUACUUUGUUUUAAUUUAGGGUAAAUUUCAUAUUUGCUCCCUAAAUUCUUUAGGCGCUUUCAUUUUGUCCUUCUAAUUUAUUUCAUCCCAAGCCGAUCCUAACUUUGAUAAUUUGGUUAUUAAUGUCAAACAACGACUGUCAUCACAAAAGUUGAUACAAAAGCAAUUGACCAUAUUUUGUAGUACAUCUUGAAUUCUUGAUAACUCAUCUACUAGACCAGAACCAACUUUUUUCUUCCCAUGUUUGCCGAAUUUGAAUAUAAAUAAUUUGUAUGAGAAAAGCUCUCAACUAUCUCUCCAUGAAAACACGAACAGAGAUAAGAAACUCUAGUCGCCGACCCCAGCCCACCCUUUUUCUCCUCUUCCCUUCUCUUCUUCCAUUUUUCUCUUAUUUCAAUUUUCUUUUGAGCUUUGUUUCGGUUUUCUUUGAGCUUUGGUCUCAAUAUUUCCUCUCAACUUGUCUCAAAUUUGGGAUUCAUGCCCCUUCCUCAGCGUUCAUCGGUCUUUUUCCACCCUUCCUCUCUUCUAGGCGUGCCUUUGCAAACACAAACCUCCAUCUCCCCCCAUAUUUUCCUUCUACAUCACUUCCUCAUAAUCCAUUGCCACCCCAUCAUGUCCUCUGAUCUGCGAGCUCCAAAAAAAAAAAAUGGAUGCCAAAUCCAUCUCCCUUGCUCACUUCCCCUCCCUCGACCGGCCUUCCAGAAUCCCCUUGAGGCCAAGUGUUAUGCAGCUUCGGCCAAAGUAAGAGUAGUUUACAUACCCCAUUAGCCUCACCUUUUAUCCAUGUGUUACUAUUGUUGUAUAUAUUUGCAGGAAUUGGUGAAAGGGAUUUGGACCAUGUGACUAUUUCUCAGUCAAAGAGUUUUCAAUGAUGAAAUCUGGUUGUUUAUUUUGUCAAAUUAACCACUCAAGUCAUUUAUCCAAUGUUGUUACUUUGGUGGCUACUGGAAUGACGUUCGUGACAACUCUCUGCAUUUGGAAGAUAGAGAUUAAGGUUUUAAUUUUUGUUUAUUUGCUUAUUGGGCUGGCUUUUGUGCAUUUGAAUUCUCCAAUUAUAUUUUAGGUUAUUUUACUUUUCUUUGGAUUGUCGUGUAACUUUUUUUGUACUUAAUGAAUGUUACAACAAAAAAAAGAUAAGAACAAAAAAAAAGGCCUAGGAGUGUAAGCAUUAAUGCAAAGAAUUGGUCAAUUUGAUCUGAAAUUAUUUUUUAUCGCCCCAAAAACUAGCAUAAUCUUAAGCCAUAAUUUGAGGACAAAAAAAGUUUGAGAUUAAAGUGAAAUUGUCUAUUCUAAAGUUGGAAGGGAAUUGGCUUGUUCAUGGCUACAAUCAAGAAAAUGCCCCUUGAUUUCACCUUAUUUGCAAGAAAGCCAUCUGAUUUGGGGCUAUGUUGGAGUCUAAUUAUGAAAAGAUAGGAGGGUAAUUUUGUCCGUAGGAAUUGGGUGCCCUGCUAUACACGUGUUGGGCUGACUAUUACAUCGGGUUGCAUUUGUGGGAUCGACGGCUGUGUGUGGUGGGAUUUGGUAAGGGGAUGGGUUAGAGAGAGCCUUCAGCUUGCAGGGAGGGAUGGAGAGAGAAAGAGAGAGCUUGAAGAAUUCCACAACUUCUCCUGAACAAGGGUUCGCUGUGCAAUUCUAGUUCUCUCUCUAUAAAAAAAAAAUAUGCUUUCGUCGUUCUCGACUUCUUCUUCUAUCUCACAGAGGGUAGGGUUGCUAUCGGUAAGAAGGAAUGGGUGUGAGAUUCGGUGAGAGGAAGGAAGGUGAGGAGUAGGAAGAUGGGCCCAAAUAAAAACUUCCCCCCUUCAUAACCUAUAGACUCAGGACUCAUGGAAUAAUCAUGGAUUAUUGUUGAGGUAAUUUGAUUGUUUCCUCUUUUGUAAGUUCUUUCUGUUAGUUUAUUGUUCUUGAAUUUUAAUUUUUCUCUUUUCCAACUUGGAACUUGGAAGAUUCGACCUCGGGUGAGAGAAUCGUGAUGUGACAAUCAUAUUCUCUCUCACAACUCACAACAAUGAAAUCGCGCAAGGCUUCGUGGAUUGAGGAAUUCCAAAAAUAUGCACUUUCGAGCAAUUCAUAGGCAUUGCUUUUGUCUGAGAUACUUCUUCCACCAGCUGGGUAGGUAUAAAAGCAAUGAUCAACUCUGUUGAUGCAUAAAACCGGAGGGUCUUGGAACAAUGUAAAUCCGACCGUGAAUCUGCAAGAAAGUAAAUAACAUAAGAUGUAUCGUGGUUCACCCCAAUGUUUGGGGUACGUCCACACUGAUAUUGUAUUUCUUUGUUUGUGAGGGAAAAAGAGAGCCUGUAUGUAAGAGUGAGGCUCUGGGGAUCUCAGGCCUAAGAAUUGGCCUCUCCCAAUGAGAAGAGUGAGAAGUCCUUUUAUAGAAUAAGGGCUCCUCACUUAUUACACAUUUGCCCCUUCAUUUAUUACAUAAUUACAUUUGAGUCCCCCAAGUAUUUAUAUGAGAUCUAAAUAUGGAGGCCCUAAGUAUGGUAUAAACAGUAGUCCCCCAAGUCUUCAGUCAAGAGAGACUUUUGGCUGGAGACUUGAAAUUCAGUCCAUGUGUGGGCCGAAGUAACUAGAUGUCGUCUAGAACUGAAUACCCGAUAUGAGGCGGUGCUUAAUGUAAAAUGAUGCUCAACUAGAAGUAGCACAUGUUGCGAGGCUGCUUUGCUUAUGGCUUAUGUUGCCUUGGUUGGCUCGACUUGUGGUGUUGAAGGUGAGGGAAUCCCUUUUAUAGAAUACGGGCUCGCUCCUUA
rnacentral:lncRNA from 1 species